rnacentral:rRNA from 1 species
AUUGAACGCUGGCGGCAGGCCUAACACAUGCAAGUCGAACGAGUGGCGGACGGGGGAGUAAAGUCUGGGAAACUGCCCCAUGGAGGGGGGUAAAUCCUGGAAACGGUAGCUAAUACCGCAUACCAUCGGAUGUGCCCAGAUGGGAUAAGCUAGUAGGGGGGGGACAGUCUCACCUAGGCGACGAUCCCUAGAUGGUCUGAGAGGAUGACCAGCCAAGCUGGAACGGAGACACGGUCCAGACUCCUACGGUAGGCAGCAGUGGGGAAUAUUGCACAAUGGGCGCAAGCCUGAUGCAGCCAUGCCGCGUGUAUGAAGAAGGCCUUCGGGUUGUAAAGUACUUUCAGCGAGGAGGCGUUACUCGCAGAAGAAGCACCGGCUAACGCCGUGCCAGCAGCCGCGGUAAUUC